GGGGAAUCUUCCGCAAUGGACGAAAGUCUGACGGAGCAACGCCGCGUGAGUGAUGACGGCCUUCGGGUUGUAAAGCUCUGUUAAUCGGGACGAAUGGUUCUUGUGCGAAUAGUGCGAGGAUUUGACGGUACCGGAAUAGAAAGCCACGGCUAACUACGUGCCAGCAGCCGCGGUAAUACGUAGGUGGCAAGCGUUGUCCGGAACUAUUGGGCGUAAAGCGCGCGCAGGCGGAUUGGUCAGUCUGUCUUAAAAGUUCGGGGCUUAACCCCGUGAUGGGAUGGAAGCUGCCAAUCUAGAGUAUCGGAGAGGAAAGUGGAAUUCCUAGUGUAGCGGUGAAAUGCGUAGAUAUUAGGAAGAACACCAGUGGCGAAGGCGACUUUCUGGACGAAAACUGACGCUGAGGCGCGAAAGCCAGGGGAGCGAACGGGAUUAGAUACCCCGGUAGUCCUGGCCGUAUACGAUGGGUACUAGGUGUAGGAGGUAUCGACCCCUUCUGUGCCGGAGUUAACGCAAUAAGUACCCCGCCUGGGGAGUACGACCGCAAGGUUG
rnacentral:rRNA from 1 species